UGCAUACGCUGACUGAAUAGUACGGUACACCUGUUACGUGGGCGCUCGACAAAGGCAGUUCUUUUAAAAUGAAGCAAGUCAUCCUCGCUCUCGUAUCGCUCUGCUUCUUCGACUUCAUUGAGCCACAGUGCGAGAAAGAAAACAUGGCGCAGAUAUUUUCUGAAGCUGACGCUGAAUGUAAUGCAAGAUACAGACAGCAAUACGGAAAACACACAGAUUUGGUUCCCGACACGACAAGAUGCUGCAUGUUGGAGUACGGCAAGGACUGCGUUCCCUUACGACUCAGAGAAAAACGAUGCGAUCAACUGAUCUUCACACAUUUUAAGGAAAUAAGGAGCAAGCAAA